UGGAGUGAGUUGUACAGUUCAAAACAUUCUGCACAAUGAGCCAAACAAAAACAAAACUCACACUUCUAGAGGGGAAGAAAAUGUAAGCCAAGAGAAACACAAUCAAAAUGCAGAGUGUGCCAACAAGCCACACCUCGUCAGCUUGAUGUUCUACUAAAUUCCUUCUCCUUUGGGACUUAUUUCUAUAGAGACCAUCUCUCUGUUCCAUAACUAAAACUAGAAGUUGCUAGGAAACAGGCUUCUCAGGACACAACUGAAGGGGAGAGGCUGCUUCCUACCAAAAGGAAGAACAUAACAUCUGCCUCAUAGGAUUUUGGAGAGAACUAAAUAAAUCAGUACAGAUAAAACAUUUCAAACAGUGUCUGGCAUAUAAUGAGGAAACUGAGAAAGAUUUGUGAGGCAAAAGUUUGGCUGAAGAAGACAGAAAACACUUGGUGGCAGAGGUGAUAUCUGAGGUGAGCCUUAAAGAAUUAGAAAAAAAAAGAAACGCAUGAAGAGCAUUCUAAUUGGAAGCAUGGAUACAAAGAAACUACCAAGGAAGAGUACUGGGAGGCGGAGAAGAAAAAAACAAAUGUAGAGUUUCCACAGAACCCGGUGAAGAUGAAGAGAAUCCUGCAAAAGAAACCAUGCACCAGCCGGGCGCAGUGGCUCAGGCUUAUAAUCCCAGCACUUUGGGAGGCUGAGGCAGUCAGAUCACCUGAGGUCAGGAGUUCAAGAUCAACC
rnacentral:lncRNA from 1 species